UACGGGGGGGGCAAGCGUUGUUCGGAAUUACUGGGCGUAAAGCGCGCGUAGGCGGCUUUGCAAGUCGGGUGUGAGAUCCCCAGGCUCAACCUGGGAACUGCAUUCGAGACUGCAUUGCUAGAGUAUGGGAGAGGGAAGUGGAAUUUCCGGUGUAGCGGUGAAAUGCGUAGAUAUCGGAAGGAACAUCAGUGGCGAAAGCGACUUCCUGGACCAAUACUGACGCUCAUGUGCGAAAGCGUGGGGAGCAAACAGG
rnacentral:rRNA from 1 species